GCCGAAGGCACCCUGCCUGCCGCCCCCAGCCCCGCUGCUGGGGCCUGGAGCCCCCCGGUGGAGAAGAACACGUGUAGGCACGUGCAGGAUCAGACCUGGACACUUGGCCUUGCCUGGCUUCAGGCAGAGCCUGAGCCUGGCAGGUCGGAGCCUGAGGACUCUGGGUACUGAUGGAAUCGGAGGAAAGGCAUACAGCCGAGAGUUCAUCCGUGAUAGCUGAAAAGCAUCUGUCAAAGACCCAGGUCUGGAAUUCUCUCAGCAGCAGAACAGGAGGCAUUUGUUGCAAACAGGUACAGGUGGGAAGUUUCCCCAGAGCUGGAAGAUGAGCCUAGCCACAUCUGGACCUAGUGACCAUUCAUGGUGAGGGGACAAAGACCUGCUCAGACAAGGUCAGCUCCCACACUGCUGUCCUGGGCAACACAGUAUGAGGAGGAGGUGAGCAACCCUCCGUGGUGAAAGAACGGAUUAAGGACUGAUUAGAAAAGCUGGACAUGCAGAAAUCCAUGGGUCCAGAUCUAAUGCA